CGGCGGGUUAAGCCCCGGGGGGCCAGCCCUCCCCUGUAACCGCAAACGGGCUGAGGGCGGGGGGCGUUAACCCGCAGAGGCGCCGGGUAGGCCGUGGGUGCCCGCGCUGACGCACCUUCGAUGAAGCCGGCCCCCGUGGGAUGCUCUGUCCCGCCGAGCCUCCUGUAGGGGAGGCUCAGGGGGUACGGCCGAACCGGGUUAGGCCCGGGAGGGAGCAGCCCUAAGGCCGGCAGGGCAUGUUCACGGGAAGGCUGGUCGGAGCCAGGUGCCGGCUCGGGUCCACGGCCUGCCGGCCACUUUGCGGGGACGCCGCCG
rnacentral:SRP_RNA from 1 species